rnacentral:misc_RNA from 1 species
GAUGAAGAACGUAGCGAAAUGCGAUACGUAAUGUGAAUUGCAGAAUUCAGUGAAUCAUCGAAUCUUUGAACGCUUAUUGCGCUCUCUGGUAUUCCGGAGAGCAUGCUUGUUUGAGUAUCAGUAAACACCUCAACUUCCAUAUCUUUUUUGAAAUGGGAGUUGGACUUGAGUGAUCCCAACGCUUUUCCUCACCGAAAAGUGGCGGGUUACUUGAAAUGCAGGUGCAGCUGGACUUUUCUCUGAGCUAUAAGCAUAUCUAUUUAGUCUGCCUAAAAAACAGAUUAUUACCUUUGCUGCAGCUAACAUAAAGGAGAUUAGUUCUUGUGCUGACUGAUGCAGGAUUCACAAAGACGGCUUCGGCCGACUUUGUAAACUCGAUCUCAAAUCAAGUAAGACUACCCGCUGAACUUAAGCAUAUCAAUAAGCGGAGGA